AGUCGAACGCACUCUCGUUUAGAUUGAAGGAGCUUGCUCCUGAUUGAUAAACAUUUGAGUGAGUGGCGGACGGGUGAGUAACACGUGGGUAACCUGCCCUAAAGUGGGGGAUAACAUUUGGAAACAGAUGCUAAUACCGCAUAAAACCUAACACCGCAUGGUGUAGGGUUGAAAGAUGGUUUCGGCUAUCACUUUAGGAUGGACCCGCGGUGCAUUAGUUAGUUGGUGAGGUAAAGGCUCACCAAGACCGUGAUGCAUAGCCGACCUGAGAGGGUAAUCGGCCACACUGGGACUGAGACACGGCCCAGACUCCUACGGGAGGCAGCAGUAGGGAAUCUUCCACAAUGGACGAAAGUCUGAUGGAGCAACGCCGCGUGAGUGAAGAAGGUUUUCGGAUCGUAAAACUCUGUUGUUGGAGAAGAAUGUAUCUGAUAGUAACUGAUCAGGUAGUGACGGUAUCCAACCAGAAAGCCACGGCUAACUACGUGCCAGCAGCCGCGGUAAUACGUAGGUGGCAAGCGUUGUCCGGAUUUAUUGGGCGUAAAGCGAGCGCAGGCGGUUUCUUAAGUCUGAUGUGAAAGCCUUCGGCUCAACCGAAGAAGUGCAUCGGAAACUGGGAAACUUGAGUGCAGAAGAGGACAGUGGAACUCCAUGUGUAGCGGUGAAAUGCGUAGAUAUAUGGAAGAACACCAGUGGCGAAGGCGGCUGUCUGGUCUGUAACUGACGCUGA
rnacentral:rRNA from 2 species